CAUGCAAGUCGAACGAACCUUCGGGUUAGUGGCGGACGGGUGAGUAACGCGUGAGAAUCUGCCCUCAGGAGGGGGAUAACAGUUGGAAACGACUGCUAAUACCCCAUAUGCCGAGAGGUGAAAUGAAUUUCGCCUGGGGAUGAGCUCGCGUCUGAUUAGCUUGUUGGUGGGGUAAUAGCCUACCAAGGCUUCGAUCAGUAGCUGGUCUGAGAGGACGAUCAGCCACACUGGGACUGAGACACGGCCCAGACUCCUACGGGAGGCAGCAGUGGGGAAUUUUCCGCAAUGGGCGAAAGCCUGACGGAGCAACGCCGCGUGAGGGAUGGAGGCCUUUGGGCUGUAAACCUCUUUUCUCAAGGAAGAAGAUCUGACGGUACUUGAGGAAUAAGCCACGGCUAAUUCCGUGCCAGCAGCCGCGGUAAUAUGGGAGUGGCAAGCGUUAUCCGGAAUUAUUGGGCGUAAAGCGUCCGCAGGCGGCCGUUUAAGUCUGUUGUUAAAUCGUGGAGCUCAACUCCAUCACGGCAAUGGAAACUGUUCGGCUUGAGUAUGGUAGGGGCAGAGGGAAUUUCCGGUGUAGCGGUGAAAUGCGUAGAUAUCGGGAAGAACACCAGUGGCGAAAGCGCUCUGCUGGGCCAUUACUGACG
rnacentral:rRNA from 1 species